rnacentral:lncRNA from 1 species
UGCGCCCUCACGGCCCAGGACUACAUCUCCCAUGAGACCUCGCGGCCGCCCCUUUCACGGCGCUCCCUGAGCCAACAUGGCAGCGAAGCUGCGUGUGGUGAGUGGGCCCAGCCGCCAUCGGCCGCCAUCCGCGGGCACGUUUCAGAGCAUGACACCGUGUCAAGAAGAGGUAGAAGCACUGCCCUGGCUGGGGAGCUGAUUUACCCACAGUGCACCUUCACAAUGGAGGAAACGGUCCUGCAGAAUCCUGGGGCUGCUGUUGCCCAAGGACAGCUUUGGCCAGAGGGCAGCUGCUGUGUUUGGCUUCAGGCUGGUAAGAGAAUUGCAUUCUUCAGUGUUGUGUGUUGUUUAUUUUUAAUUGAUUAAUUACAUGCCAGGCCUGCAGAGCCUAAUCUCUGAAGGUUUACCAGGAAAAAUCCCAGGGAGAACAGCUGUGUAUCUGCACUGUGUGUGUGGUUUUGGGGAACAUGAGGGGUUUGUGCUGCCAGGGCUGGGACAGACACUGAGCCUGUGAUGUGCUGUUAUCCCUGUCUGACACUCAGCUUGAGG